rnacentral:rRNA from 1 species
UCAGGAGGGCCGGGGGCGCCGAUCGGUCUCAAACCGAACGGACCCCUUCCAGGGCCGGACCGGACGUUCGCGCGGUCCUCGGUCCGCCUGACGCAUUUCCUCCCGCACUGCGGACGCCGCAACCGGUCGGGUAGCUGCGAGAGUCGGCCAGGAGGUCGGGCGACGGCAGGUGGCCGGGGGCGUCGCUUCGGCGUCGCCGCCCGGUUGUUAGCCGGCCCGUCCGUGGCGCGACACCCGACCGAGGUCGAGGUUCCCGACUUCGGGAGCACGGCCGUCCCCUUCUCUAGCGGGAGCGCACGCAGGCGUUGUGCCGGCGCUGUCGAGUCACCCCCCGUGGUGGCCGGCGCGUCGGGGCCGUCGUUGGCGGGCGUCACCUCACCCGCGGGGGUCAGCUCACACGAGGUUGGCGGCGAGUAGGUCGGUCACCCACCCGACCCGUCUUGAAACACGGACCAAGGAGUCUAACAUGUGCGCGAGUCACGGGGUCUUGAACAGGCCCAGAGGCGCAAUGAAAGUGAAGGCCCGCCCUCGCGGUGCGGCUGUGUUGGGACUCCCCGGCCCCUGGCGGCGCGGGGAAGCACCAACGACCCGUCCCAUCCGAUUUAUCGGUCGGGCGGAGUCCGAGCGUACACGUUGGGACCCGAAAGAUGGUGAACUAUGCCUGGGCAGGACGAAGCCAGAGGAAACUCUGGUGGAGGUCCGUAGCGGU